UACGUAGGGUGCUAGCGUUGUCCGGAUUUAUUGGGCGUAAAGGGCUCGUAGGCGGCUUGUCGCGUCGGAUGUGAAAGCCCGGGGCUUAACUCCGGGUCUGCAUUCGAUACGGGCAGGCUAGAGUUCGGUAGGGGAGAUCGGAAUUCCUGGUGUAGCGGUGAAAUGCGCAGAUAUCAGGAGGAACACCGGUGGCGAAGGCGGAUCUCUGGGCCGAUACUGACGCUGAGGAGCGAAAGCGUGGGGAGCGAACAGG
rnacentral:rRNA from 1 species